GAAGAAUCAUCGUAACCAAUGUGUUUCACUGUUUCUCUGACUACUUUUUGAUAAUCAACAUUGGCUUUGGAGGUAAUUUCACCGCACAGCAAAAUCAUUCCCGUCUUUGUGACAGUUUCUGUGGAUUAAUUCCAUAUUUAAGAUUGAAAUUAUUUAAUAUCUACUAAUAUAAAUAUUAUUAGACCAUUCCUCUACUCUUAGGAAAAACUAACCUGGAUGACCCUCGCCGACAGAUUCCGACGUAAAUAAAAACACAGAUCCAUCUUCCAUAUCAUAACUGUGACCAUUUGUUUUAGCAUAUCCAUUCAUUUUUGAGGUUUCCGGCAUUCUGAAUUUAGAGUUAGCUCACUAAAAUAA